CUCAGAAGCACUGAGGAGGAGUGACUGACCCAAAAGAAACGGAGAAGACAGCAAUCUGAGAGAGGAGAAAAUGCUCCUCCUGGAUAAGCUUGUGUGACCUGGAGGGAGCCCUGCAGGUGCCCUACAGAGCGGUGUUGAUGAGCUUCUGCUUUGCAAGGGAUGAGCUUUAACUGCAUUUUUCAGAGCCUGCCCUUCUAGAGGUGACAGGGAGCAACUGAUCUCAUCACCAUCCUUGAUUGCCAUUCUCUUUUGUGGAGGUAAGACUGUAAUCAUGUCUUCCCUCAGGCUUCCCUUCCUAUGACCCUUUCUCAGAGGGC
rnacentral:lncRNA from 1 species